GACGAACGCUGGCGGCGUGCCUAAUACAUGCAAGUCGAACGCUUCUUUCCUCCCGAGUGCUUGCACUCAAGUGGAAAGAGGAGUGGCGGACGGGUGAGUAACACGUGGGUAACCUACCCAUCAGAGGGGGAUAACACUUGGAAACAGGUGCUAAUACCGCAGAACAGUUUAUGCCGCAUGGCAUAAGAGUGAAAGGCGCCGUCGGGUGGCGCUGAUGGAUGGACCCGCGGUGCAUUAGCUAGUUGGUGAGGUAACGGCUCACCAAGGCCACGAUGCAUAGCCGACCUGAGAGGGUGAUCGGCCACACUGGGACUGAGACACGGCCCAGACUCCUACGGGAGGCAGCAGUAGGGAAUCUUCGGCAAUGGACGAAAGUCUGACCGAGCAACGCCGCGUGAGUGAAGAAGGUUUUCGGAUCGUAAAACUCUGUUGUUAGAGAAGAACAAGGACGUUAGUAACUGAACGUCCCCUGACGGUAUCUAACCAGAAAGCCACGGCUAACUACGUG
rnacentral:rRNA from 1 species